UCUGCCUUAUAGGCCAGCGGUCUCACUAGAGUCCCCAACUUAAUGCUGGUAACUAGUGACGAGGGUUGCGCUCGUUGCGGGACUUAACCCAACAUCUCACAACACGAGCUGACGACAGCCAUGCAGCACCUGUCUCGGCGUCCCCGAAGGGAACCCCCGCUUUCACGGGGUGGCACCGGAUGUCAAACCUAGGUAAGGUUUUUCGCGUAGCAUCGAAUUAAACCACAUGCUCCACCGCUUGUGCGGGCCCCCGUCAAUUCCUUUGAGUUUUAAUCUUGCGACCGUAAUUCCCAGGCGGAUUACUUAAUGCGUUAGCUGCGUCACCAAGACAAUUAGGUAUCCUGACAACUAGUAAUCAUCGUUUAGGGCGUGGACUAC
rnacentral:misc_RNA from 1 species